rnacentral:lncRNA from 1 species
CAUGGUUUCCACCCAUAAAAUGGCCAAACAUCAGUCCUGCCCACUAACUGGACUGUGGAGAGGAUGGGGGAGUGCUCGGAUAAAAGGGGAGUAUGUGGGCACAGCUGCUGGCCCUGUGCUCCUUCCAGUUGGCCAUGUCCCAAAGCCUCUCCCUCAUCUGGACCUGUCUGCCAGCUGCUGGCCUGGAACCCCUCUGUGCCUGCCACUUCCGCUCCUGUUCUGAUCUGCCAGCCAUUCACCAAAAGCCUGAAAUGGAAUGCCUGGAGUUGACACACGGCCUUCCAGCCAGGACAGGGAAGAUCUGGCCUAGGAACAGUGGAGGGUACACAUGACAGGGCUCCUGCAUGUGGCUGCUCUGCACGUGAGAGGUGAGUUCAACAGCGUGAGCACA